UAGGGAAUCUUCUGCAAUGGACGAAAGUCUGACCGAGCAACGCCGCGUGAGUGAAGAAGGUUUUCGGAUCGUAAAACUCUGUUGUUAGAGAAGAACAAGGACGUUAGUAACUGAACGUCCCCUGACGGUAUCUAACCAGAAAGCCACGGCUAACUACGUGCCAGCAGCCGCGGUAAUACGUAGGUGGCAAGCGUUGUCCGGAUUUAUUGGGCGUAAAGCGAGCGCAGGCGGUUUCUUAAGUCUGAUGUGAAAGCCCCCGGCUCAACCGGGGAGGGUCAUUGGAAACUGGGAGACUUGAGGGCGGAAGAGGAGAGUGGAAUUCCAUGUGUAGCGGUGAAAUGCGUAGAUAUAUGGAGGAACACCAGUGGCGAAGGCGGCUCUCUGGUCUGAAACUGACGCUGAGGCGCGAAAGCGUGGGGAGCAAACAGG
rnacentral:rRNA from 1 species